rnacentral:rRNA from 1 species
GGACCUGACUGCUAUCGGAUUGAUACUAAGCCAUGCGAGUCAUUGUAGCAAUACAAGGCAUACGGCUCAGUAACGCGUAGUCAACCUAACCUAUGGACGGGAAUAACCUCGGGAAACUGAGAAUAAUGCCCGAUAGAACAUUAUGCCUGGAAUGGUUUAUGUUCCAAAUGAUUUAUCGCCGUAGGAUGGGACUGCGGCCUAUCAGUUUGUUGGUGAGGUAAUGGCCCACCAAGACUAUUACAGGUACGGGCUCUGAGAGGAGUAGCCCGGAGAUGGGUACUGAGACACGGACCUAUGCCCUAUGGGGCGCAGCAGGCGAGAAAACUUUGCAAUGUGCGAAAGCACGACAAGGUUAAUCCGAGUGGUUUCUGCUAAAGAAACCUUUUGUCAGUCCUAGAAACACUGAUGAAUAAGGGGUGGGCAAGUUCUGGUGU